GCGCUGGAUAAAAGUUAGGUGUUCCUCUCGUCAUUUCAGUCGCGUGCGAAUUUUUAUUGCAAUGGUGAAGCAUACGAAUACUGAUUAAUCCUGCAUAAACCAAAGAUUGGUUUACUUAGAACAGCUUCCUUAAUUAUUGUGAAGUUGUGACGCCUUGUUGCUGUCAGUUAUGCUGCAACAGCGUUUCCAGUAAGGCACCUAAAUGUUUAUAUUUAACAGCUAUGUUUUUGGUCUUGUAUAUGUUUAUGCUGCCGAGUCUUUAAUACAUACCAACAUGGUUUAGUUUGCUUUAUUGUGCUUUUUAAUUCACGCUAACAAUACAUUUUCAUGGGCUAUUAAAGCUUGUUUUCAAAGCUUAGUUCAGUUCAUGUAACAUUCCUUUAAUCGACUAGGAUUUUAAUGCUUUCCUAUAAUCGAGGAAAGGAAAGCAAAAAAAGCCAAACGAUUGUGAAACAAGUCAUACUUCCAGACACCAACUAACAUGCCAUCUAAAGGCAAUGGCGCAUUGAAGAUUUAUCACAAACAUAUCACAUUUAUUAUUAAAUAUCAAUUAAUGAUGGAUCUGUGAUAUAAGUCUUCAAGAGAUGAAAGACAAAAGCGCCAAGACUAUGAAUGCUCUAGAAGUUUUUCAAUUUACUCUGAAGAUGACCAGAUGACACACGGCCGAAAUAUCAGUGGAAGAAGUUUUAUUUGCGUGGCUGCAUGCCCAAAAU